GUCGGUACCUAUAGCAGCGAGGUCACACCCGUUCCCAUUCCGAACACGGAAGUUAAGCUCGUUCACGUUGAUGAUACUUGGCUGGCGACGGCCUGGGAAAGUAAAUCGGCGCCGACA
rnacentral:rRNA from 1 species